rnacentral:rRNA from 1 species
UACGGGGGGAGCAAGCGUUGUUCGGAUUUACUGGGCGUAAAGGGCGCGUAGGCGGCGCGACAAGUCACUUGUGAAAUCUCUGGGCUUAACUCAGAGCGGCCAAGUGAUACUGUCGUGCUAGAGUGCGGAAGGGGCAACUGGAAUUCUCGGUGUAGCGGUGAAAUGCGUAGAUAUCGUAAGGAAGACCAGUGGCGAAGGCGGGUCUCUGGACAGUUCCUGACGCUGAGGCACGAAGGCCAGGGGAGCAAACGGG